rnacentral:rRNA from 1 species
AGCUCCAAUAGCGUAUAUUAAAGUUGCUGCAGUUAAAAAGCUCGUAGUUGGAUUUCUGACUUUAAUUCGCCUAGCCCGCUGCAGUGAUGUAUGUGAGUGCCGGGUCGGAUUGGUCAUCCUUCGUUUUUUAUGGUUUCAUUGUCUGCUCUUCACUGAGUGGCUUUGGUUAAAAACCGUGAACGAUCGUUUACUUUGAAAAAAUUAGAGUGUUUCAAGCAGGCUUAUAUUUGCUUUGAAUACAUGAGCAUGGAAUAAUAAAGUAGGACUUCGGUUCUAGUUUGUUGGUUUGGAGAGCUGAAGUAAUGAUGGAUAGGGACAGUUGGGGGUGCUAGUAUUCAGCGGCCAGAGGUGAAAUUCUUGGAUUCGCUGAAGACUCACUACGGCGAAAGCAUUCACCAAGGAUGUCUUCU